rnacentral:rRNA from 1 species
GCGAAGAAGUAUUUCGGUAUGUAAAGCUCUAUCAGCAGGGAAGAUAAUGACGGUACCUGACUAAGAAGCCCCGGCUAACUACGUGCCAGCAGCCGCGGUAAUACGUAGGGGGCAAGCGUUAUCCGGAUUUACUGGGUGUAAAGGGAGCGUAGACGGCAUGGCAAGUCUGAAGUGAAAGCUCGGGGCUCAACCCCGGAACUGCUUUGGAAACUGUUAAGCUGGAGUGCAGGAGAGGUAAGCGGAAUUCCUAGUGUAGCGGUGAAAUGCGUAGAUAUUAGGAGGAACACCAGUGGCGAAGGCGGCUUACUGGACUGUAACUGACGUUGAGGCUCGAAAGCGUGGGGAGCAAACAGGAUUAGAUACCCUGGUAGCCCACGCCGUAAACGAUGAAUACUAGGUGUUGG